ensembl:lncRNA
AUCAUUGCAGUCAUUGUAUAUAUAUAUAUAUAUAUAUAUAUAUAUAUAUAUAUAUAUAUAUAUAUAUAUAUAUAUAUAUAGCAAAUUUUACAUACUUCAGAAAGAAAGGAACAACAUAAACUGUUAGUCAUAGUCUUACUUUGAUUAAAAAAAAAAAUAAUAAUAAAAUAAAGGGAUAGCUCAGCCAAAAAUGAGCAUUCUGUUACUCAUUACUCAUCCUCAUGUAAUUUCAAACCUCUACAGAAUAAAGAAGUCCAUCCACUGAAAGCCAACGGGGUCCAAUCCAAUGUCAUUUUGGAGACCAAUGACUUUAUCUUCAAAAACCGCUGGAACAGCUUUUGAAAUAACUUCUUUUGCAGUUUCCCCUCGCCCAGUAGGGGUCACUCAAUCAAGACACACUGUCACAACCUGUUGCCCCUUCAAUCCAACUCAUCCAUCAAUCUGAUCAGAGACACGACCCACUGCUGAGCCAAAGACGUAGGUUAUCCUCUGAAAUUCAUUUGUCAGUUAGUGCUGCUACAAUUAGAUUGCCUGUAACACUGUGACAGCUAUUGCUAAAUGUCCUAUAAGCAGAUAAAUAUCUAUUAACUGACAGUUAUACAACCAAAAUUCAGGCAAUGUGUCAAGGUCUAUUAACAUUUAAUUCAGAUUUCAACACAAAAAGCUUCUGAAUGAUUCAGUUUUUUGUUCAUCCAUGGCAUAACAACCAGAGGGAUGCAACAGUCCAAGGUUUCAGCAUUCAGUAAUCCCUGUUUCAGACUGAAGAGUAUCGAGCCAUCCUGGGCCAGCUGGCGUGCUCUAACGCUCAUCUGCAAUGCCAAGAAGUGCAUGGGGCAUUUCUUAGUGACAAGGCUGGACCACCGUGGUUAAUCACUAGACAGCUUGGAUAAAAAUUGGAACGUUACUUGCAGGGAAGGAAGAACCCGACACCCCAGAUUGGAGAGCUGCAUGUCAUCCUCACUUGUACUUCCUCUCAAUUUUAUUUAAAAUGUUUGUAGAGGAAAUAUGCGGAUAGAUGAGGUUUGUGUGUACUACAUAUGACAUAAACAUACAAUUUUCCUCCAUUUACUUAAAGCGGUAGCUCACCCAAAACUUAACAGUAACACCUGGAAUUUACUUUCAUUAUGUGUACAUAUAGAAAUGUAAUAAACAUAGCCCUGUAUCAAGAAAGACAUUGUCAUAUGCUACCUGAAAUAUAAUUUAUAAUUUUCACAAAUGUACAUUUUCUGAGAAAAUUAAGAUAUUUCCACAGUAUACAGUAUGUACAAAUCUAUAUGGUAAUGUGUGUGUGUGUGUGUGUGUGUGUGUGUGUGUGUGUGUGUGUGUGUGUGUGUGUGUGUGUGUGUGUGUGAAAAAAAAAAAAGAUUUACAAAACAGAAAUGUUCAAGAUUUCCAAAGUAGGUUUAAUUAUGCACUCAAUACUUGGUUGGGGCUCCUUUUGCACAAAUUAUUGUUUCAAUGCGGUGUGGCAUUAAGGUGAUAAGCCUGUGGUACUGCUGAGGUGUUAUUGAAGCCCAGGUGGCUUUGAUAGCGGCCUUCAGCUCCUCUGUAUUGUUUGUCAAAUGUUGCUUAUCUUCCUCUUCACAAAACCCUAUAGAUUCUCUGUAAGGUCAGGUCAGGUGAGUUGGCUGGCCAACCAAGCACAGUAAUAUCAUAGCUACAAACCACUUGGAAGUGGUUUUGGCACUGUGGGUAGGUGCUAAGUCCUGCUGCAAAAUGAAAUCAGCAUCUCCAUAAAGCUUGUCAGCAGAUGGAAGCAUAAAGUUCUCCAAAAUCUCCUGGUAGAUGGCUGCAUUGACUUUGGACUUAAUAAAAAACAAUGAACCAACACCAGCAGACAUCACGGCAAUCCAAAUCAUCACUGACUUCGGAAACUUCACACUGGACUUCAAGCAGCUUUGAUUCUGUGCCUCUCCAAUCUUCCUCCAGACUCCAGACCUUGAUUUCUAAAUGAAAUGCAAAAUUUACUUUCAUCUGAAAAGAGGACUGUGGACCACUGAGCAACAGUCCAGUUCUUUUUCUCCUUACCCCAGGUAACAUGCUUUUUAAAUGUAUUUAUUUAUUUUUUUUCUGGUUGAGAAGUGGCAUGGUUCUAGGAAUGUGACAGCUGUAGCCCUUUUCCUGAAGACGUCUGAGUGUGGUGACUCUUGAUGUGCUGAGCUCUCCCAAGUUCUUGAAUCGGCUUUUCCUGACAAUUUUCCCUAGGCUGUGGUCAUCCUUGUUGUUUGUGCACCUUUUCCUACCACACUUUUUCCUUCCAGUCAACUUUCUAUGAAUAUAUUUCGAUACAGCACUCUGUGAACAGCCAGCCCUUUCAGCAAUGACCUUCUGUGACUUACCCUCCUUGUGGAGGGUGUCAAUGAUCGUCUUCUGGAAAACUGUCAAGUCAGUAAUUUUUCCCAUAAUUGUGGUUGCAUGUUCUAAACUAGCCCAGGAGGUACCCAGUAUUUAUACUCAAAAUUAACCAUACUAAUCAAGCUAAAAUGGCAUAUUCUAAUUUUUUGAGAAACUAAAAUUUUAAUUUUAAUAAAGCUGUAAGUCACAACCAUCAG